rnacentral:rRNA from 1 species
AAAGGAAUAGACGGGGGCCCGCACAAGCAGCGGAGCAUGUGGUUUAAUUCGAAGCAACGCGAAGAACCUUACCAAGACUUGACAUCCCUUGACGAGCGCUGAAAGGCGAAGUCCCUUCGGGGCAAGGAGACAGGUGGUGCAUGGUUGUCGUCAGCUCGUGUCGUGAGAUGUUGGGUUAAGUCCCGCAACGAGCGCAACCCUUACACUUAGUUACCAGCGGGUAAAGCCGGGGACUCUGAGUGGACUGCCGGGGACAACUCGGAGGAAGGUGGGGACGACGUCAAAUCAUCAUGCCCCUUAUGUCUUGGGCUACACACGUGCUACAAUGGCUAUUACAGAGGGCAGCGAAGGGGUAACCUGGAGCGAAACCCAAAAAGAUAGUCCCAGUUCGGAUUGUGGGCUGCAACCCGCCCACAUGAAGUCGGAGUUGCUAGUAAUCGCGAAUCAGCAUGUCGCGGUGAAUGCGUUCCCGGGCCUUGUACACACCGCCCGU